UACAGAGGGUGCAAGCGUUAAUCGGAAUUACUGGGCGUAAAGCGAGCGUAGUCGGUUAUCUAAGUCGGGUGUGAAAUCCCCGGGCUCAACCUGGGAAUUGCAUUCGAUACUGGAUAGCUAGAGUUCGGCAGAGGGAAGCGGAAUUUCCGGUGUAGCGGUGAAAUGCGUAGAUAUCGGAAGGAACAUCAGUGGCGAAGGCGACACCCUGGACUCAUACUGACACUGAGGUGCGAAAGCGUGGGGAGCAAACAGG
rnacentral:rRNA from 1 species